rnacentral:lncRNA from 1 species
GCAAGUUUUAAUUCAAUUUAAUUCAGCAAACAUUUAUUAUGUGCAUGACACUGUGCUAGGUAAUGAGGAUCCUAGGAUGAAAUAAAACACAGUUCCUAAUAAGAAGAUUAUAGCUGAAUGUCAAUAAGUUCGCUACAAGGAGGAUUCUGAUGAGUGCAAAGAAGGUAGAAAAAAAAUUCUCAGGAAUUCAGAAAAGGUAAUCAGGGAAGGCUUUGUGCAGGAGGUAGCACCUGAGGUGAAAUUUGAAAAAACAGAAGAGGUUUCAACAAGUAGAGAUGAGAGACCCCAAAUUAUGAUACUCAAUUAUAUCAGCCCCAAAGCAUGUGUUGUUCGGUGUGAAUUAUUUAAACAACAGCCUCAGCUUUUCAUGCCCUGCUUCAUGACAAAGUCCAGCCCAAAACAUGUUGUUGCAGAGAAUAAGUUCUCUUGUUGACAACUAUUAUGUCAAUCAAGGCCUGGAUUGAAACACAGAUCAUUUUGUGAUUGUCCUUAAACCUCACCCCACUUUGUUCUAUGGUACACAGCUGGUAAGAUAACUGAAGUGAUGGAGGCUGAGUCACCAGCUGAAACGAUCUUGACAGGUUAGAACACUGGGGCAAAUCUAGAUGAAAUUGAAUAGUGAUAAAUGUAAAGUCUUCUUUAGUUUAGAAAAUUGGAAGACAGUGUGAUAUGGAA